CCUACGGGGGGCAGCAGUGGGGAAUAUUGCACAAUGGGCGCAAGCCUGAUGCAGCAACGCCGCGUGAAGGAAGACGGUUCUCGGAUUGUAAACUUCUGUUCUUAGUGAAGAAUAAUGACGGUAACUAAGGAGCAAGCCACGGCUAACUACGUGCCAGCAGCCGCGGUCAUACGCAGGUGGCAAGCGUUGUCCGGAAUUACUGGGUGUAAAGGGAGCGUAGGCGGGAAGCCAAGUCAGCUGUGAAAACUUAGGGCUUAACCUGUAGACUGCAGUUGAAACUGGCUUUCUUGAGUGAAGUAGAGGUUGGCGGAAUUCGGGGUGUAGCGGUGAAAUGCUUAGAUAUUCGGAAGAACACCGAUGGCGAAGGCGGCCAACUGGGCUUUAACUGACGCUGAGGCUCGAAAGUGUGGGGAGCAAACAGGAUUAGAUACCCGUGUAGUC
rnacentral:rRNA from 1 species